rnacentral:lncRNA from 1 species
CGGAGAUUGAAUUUGGUUAUGGUGAUCAGGAUGUUUUUUACUGAGAAUGUGACUCUGACACUUAAUGAUUCAAAUUUGUCUGGGUAGAGAUAAGGCAAAGGAACUACCUAAAGAGGGAGCAACAUAUGGAAAGGCAAAUGGAUCCACAAAUCUGAAACAGGACCUCUACAGCUAAAACUAAGAAAGCAAGGCAUAACUAAAAGUGAAGAAUGAGUUAAGUUCUGCCACCAAAUUGUUGUUUAAACCAUCUUCCUGGAAAAGAACACAAUCAAUUACUGAAGAAAAUGGUUGUCUCUGCAAACCCAUCAGAAUCUGCACAAAUGACUGUGGAAUGUUAGAAUAAGAAGAGUCUAUCAAACAGACUUCCAUCUGCUUCGAUUCCAAAAGUUCAACCUUUAUUAUAAACUAAGCAACUGAAAAUCAAAGUUCUGAAAACUUAAUUGCUUUCCUUAAAUCUUAGUUUCAGUUUAACUUUUAGAAUGAUCCAAUAUGCCAUGAUAUAGGAAUUCACAUUUUGUGUUGUAAUUUUCCUUUCCUUAAUAUCCUGUUGCCUGUUGUCUUCCUGAUAUUUAAUCAAUGACAUUUAUUACAAAGGAAAAAAUAUAUACUGGUGAAUAUGAAAUGGUCUAUAUCAUGCUAACCCCAUAAUAAAACCAUUCUUUUGAUAAUUUGAUUUGAUAUAAAAAGAAAGAGGAGAGAGUUUUGAAUAAUUGUAGGUUGUGUGAGCAUAUUCAGGACAGUUCUUGGAGGGUCGACCAUAUCAUAAUAUUUUAUUAGACCAUAGACUAGAGAGAACUUAGUGUAGAAUGUAACUAUCAUCAUAUUAUGUCAAAAAAAGGGGAAGGGUAAAUUUUUUUUCCAGUUCAGAGGAUUAUAGGAAGGGAGACACCGAUAGUUUUUCAGACGUUUUGGGUUUGCCACGUUCCAUUUAGACUCCUAGAAGACUGCUUCACAGAUUGGUCCUGAGGUUUCAUGCAGUAAAGAAGAUGUAACAAAAUGAGACAGUGAUUCUGAGCAGCACUUCUCCUGACUCUCCAUGACCUGCUCACAGUGCGAAAGAAACCCAGCCUCUGAGGCUGCGAAACAGAAAAACAAGCUAAAUGGUUGGGAGUUUUCUAUAUGCAUUUACUGUAGUGGGUAAUUCACUCUGAUGUCAGAUAAAGAAAUUUUGGGCAGUUUGCCUGGAUGGUAACUAAAGGAGAGUCACAGCAAGAAAUAUGGUUUAGAUGCUUAACUCUAGAGAAAGCUAAAGUGGGGUCAAGUCACUAAGGACAAUAUAAAGAGCCUGAAAUUGUCAAAGUGUAGAUUAUGACUUCCCCUGUCAUUGCAUUCAUCAGUAGAUGACAAGAGAGAGCCAAACCCACCCCAUGGGCAAGAAACUAGCAGCAGUUUCCAACCAGCCCCAGACCUGCUGCUCUCGAUCAAAGAUGGCUAGUGAAACCACCCUAACACCUUCACUUGCCAUGUUCUUAGGAUAGUAAAUAUGAAAUGUUGCCUUCUAAAAAAUCAUUAUUGGAAUGAGAACUAAAACAUGUCAAACAAGAUCCCCUUACAAAGGGGAUCUUCAGUUGAGGAUGUUAGGAGAUUUCUAAUUUCGAAUGUGAAAAAAAAAGUGUUUUCAAUCAUCUGUAAAUGAAAUUUAACAUUUCUAUUAAUUUGUAAUGUAAGCAAUAAAACACAGUAGUAUAGUUAUAUUUGCAAUUUAGUCACCAAUGGAAAUCAUAGAAAUUUUUAUAUUGUAUUACAUUGUUGCAGAUAUAAAUUAUAUUUUACUAUGAUUACUACUUCAAACUUAGAGAAAUUAUUAGAGCUUCCGAUAGCUUCUGCUAUUUACUUCAUUGAUGAGAAAUCACAUUUAUUACUAUACUACAUUUUAAGAUUUUGAGAACUAUAUUUCAGAAUGAUAAUUUUACUUUUAAUACUUUCUACUUGUGUUGUAUUUUUAUGAAAAGCACUGUUAUGAGAGUGCAUCAAUAGGAGUUACUCCUCUGCCAAAGUGGUCUGUGGCAUUAAAGGACAAAAUAAAACAAGCAAAACCGGAUAACAUGUACUUUCCAGUGACUUUGCAAUGAUGGGUUAUUAUAUCAUGGAUGCUUACAGAUUGAAAGAGUUUAAACCUGAGAUGACUGAGGUAUUAUUUAAAAUAGUUUAAAAAGUUAAAUUCAUAGAAAUGGAGAGUAGAGGGUUGUUACUAGGGAUUGGGGUGUGGGGGAGAUGGGGAGAUCUUGGGCAAAGGCUGCAAACUGGCAGUUAUAAGAUGAAUAAAUUCUGGAGACAACAUACAGCAUGAUGACUACAGUUAAUAAUAAUGUACUGCAUCCUUGAAAAUUGCUAAAAGAUUAGAUCUCAAGUAUUCUCAUACACCCAAGACAAAGUAGCUAUUAAUACAUGAGGUGAUGGGCACACUAAUUAGCUUAACUGUGAAAAUCUUCACAUUGUAUAGGUAUAUAUAAACAUCACUUUGUAUACCUUGAGCAUACGCAAUUUUUACUUGUUAUUUAUGCCUCAGUAAAGCUGAAAAAAUUUGUUUUUGUUUGUCCAUAUGAAUGUUUACUUACUUUCUCUGCUGUCAGCAGAAUUGGGGCCUUGAAUAAAAUGAGAUUAAGUCAGUUAUAAAGAAAUAAAUUACCUAUAUUUUCCUUAUAUAUCUAAGUUGUGUUGUGAACAAACUCACAACUACAGAGAGUAAAUAUGAUUUUCCUCAUGCAAAAAUAUAAGUCACUAAUCUGAACAAUGCAUAUUUAUUGAAAGGAUAGAAUAUAUUCCCUUUUUAUUAAUGAGUGCAGCAAUACUUUAUACCUGUGCUGAAUUCCUAGUAUUGAUCUAAAUAGAUAGAACUAACUAUAAUAAGAUUACACAGUAUCUCUAAAAAAUAGAACAGGUAAAGUAAGAAUUUUAAACUUUUAAAUAAUGACUUGUAAAUAAACAUACUCAAUAAUAGCUGAGUUCAGAUUCAUAAAUCUAAAAGCUAUAAUGAGUGGAAGAUAACCCAUUAAAGUGCCACUUAUUAGGCUGAUCUUCAAAUUAUAUUUGUAAUAUUCCGAAUAGAGGAUUCUCUGAUAUGCUGAAUAGAGAAUAAUUUUAUUAAGCAUUAUAAACUUUUUUCUAAGAUAAUUUAUGUCUAAAACUGGAAAAUGUAUGCAAUUUGUAAGCUAAUUUUACUGAUUAGAAAUGUGCAUUAUGAGAAAUUUGCCUUCUGUAAGCAACAUCUGAGUAUAUUUAGAUAGGAUAAUUAUAUUCAAAAAUAAUCCACUCAUUGGUCUUAGGUGUUAAUGAUCAUGUGAUAUGUAACUAAUAUGAAGUAUAACCAUAUAUGUGCAUUAGACUAGUCUCAAACAUUUGAACUCUUGCCAUUGUUGAGGAUCCUUUACUGAUUUUUUGUCAUUGAAUAUUAACUGAGUAAUAUUUACCUUGGGAACAUAAUUUAUAAAUACAAAGAUACUAAAAUUUGUUCUUUUUUAAAAUGCUUACAUUUUUAGAAAAUAAUACACCAGUUCCACCAUCUGUUGUUCAUGGCCAUUUAGUCUGUCUGUUCGUCUAUCUCCUCUAGGUUGUGACUUCUAAAUAUAAUAUUCAAUAACAGUGCCUCUUUUCUCUGGCUACAAGAACCAUACUUACUAAAAAUUGUCUUUAUAUAUAUAUUGGUUUAUCUUUACUGAAAACUGUUGUCAUCAAUCAGAGUCAAUUGAGAGAGUAAUCAUUUGAUUAUUUUUGAAAUAACAAAUCUGUGACAUGCAUAUCUUGGGAAUACCAGCAAAAUUUGAAGUUUGAGGAAGAAGGCAUUAAUCAAGCCUUAUAGGUAGUGUAUUUGGGAAUAAAGGCAUAGUUGUUAAAAAUUCUACAACCUUGACUGGAUGAGUUGAGAACCCUAAUUUUCCCAUGCCUAACUGUUCCAUCUUGAAUGUUACUACAGCCCUCUGUCUUUUUAUCUUCUCUGUAAUGUGGACAUUAUAAGUGUAUCUUAUAAGAAAAUGAAGUUGUAAGAAAAACAACGUGGCAUAUUGUAGGGGUUAGCUAAGUUUAGACACAAAAAUAUGAGCUCAAUGAUGGCUGGAAUUUUGUCUUUUAUUUUCACUAUGCCCCCAAAGCCUAGAAUAUGACUAGCAUAUACAGUAUGCUAGGUAUCCACCUAUUUAUGUUAUAAUAAUAUGCUAUAUCCACCUAUUUACAGUUUUGCUUUCCACACUUUCAGUUACUUAUGUUCAACUGUGGUCCAAAAAUAUUAAAUGGAAAGUUCAGGAAAUAACUCAUUAGUUUUAAAUUGCACACCAUUCUGAGUAGUGUGAUGAAAUCUCCAGACAAGCCCUCCUGCUCUCACAGGUGGAUGCAAAUCACCCAUUUGUCCCAGGUAUCCACUCUGUAUACACCAUCCACCCAUUAGUGACUUAGUAGCAUCUAGCUUAUCUGAUCGAAAACCAUAGUACAGUACUGUACAUAUAGGGUUCAAUACUAUCUGCAGUUUCAGGCAUCCACUUUAAGUCUUGGAACAUAUCCCUAAUGGAUAAUGGGGUGCUACUACAAUAGAUACUAAAUAUGUGCUCAGUAAUUAUAUGUUUAUACAAAUAAAAUACAUAAAAUUUCAUUUUAGCUAAAUAAUAUUUUUUCUGAAAUGUUUGUUUUAUUUUAUAAAUUUGUUGCUAAGACCUAAAAAAAAAUUAAUGUGCAUGUGAUUUCACAAGCAGAGACUCUUGGAAAAAAAGAACAAUGUAAGCUAAUAUAAGAAAAAUGUAUUUGAAUGUAUUUGUCACAACCAUUUAGCAUGCUUUAUUUUAGUCCAUGAGCUCAAUAUCCACAUGAGGUCUAUGGGCAGCAUCUUCUACUUGGAGAACUAUGGAAACAUUCAAUUGCCUAACACAAAACAAAUUAUUUGAUCAUCUGCCUAACAUCCUCAUUAGAUUAAUUUGCUGAAUAUAAUCUAUUACAUAAUAUCAUCAUUUCACAAUACCUAUAAAUAACUUGAGGAUAUUUAUAGCUAUGGAAACUUUGCAGAGGUACUGGGGAGAGAGUGGCUAGGAAAAAUAAAUAAUUUAAUUGGAGGGGGUGCAGAGGGGACUAGAGAAUUUCAUGAAAAGGCCAUUAUUCCCUCUAUGUCUCACUAAAUAUGUGUAGUAAAUUAUUCAAUUUUCAUCAAGUACUUAUGAAUACAAUAGUAAUAUGUCUUAUAUUUAUUCAAAGAUAGUCUAAGUGCAGACCUUAAAGCCUUUAUAAUUUGAAUGAAAUUUGCUAAUUUUGAUUAUUAGUAAGAUAUUUUCUAAAAACAAAUUAAACUUUCACUGUCUAGAGUAAGAGUAGCUCUCAUGAUCCUCAAGAUUACGUUUUGCAAAAUGUAUCCAGAUGACAUUACAAGAAAUCAACGACAUAGUAAUGCAGAAGUUUCUCUCAAAAUUUUUAAUUAUCUAAAUUAUUUAGAAUACAUGGUAACAUUCUUUUCCUGAAUUCCCAUGACAAUAUUUAUAUAGACUAAACAUUUUCCUUCAUCCACAAAAUGGUUGCAAGGAAUGAAUAUCAGCUCCAGGUAUGUGUGAUCACCUGGUAUGUGUGAUACUUGAGUAUCUUUAUAGUGCAUUAGGCUACCAUAUUUUUUUAAGUAAACAUAUCUGCCCAGAAAUUAAGGACAUUACUAUAGUAGGACAUAUUUUUAAUGAUUUAUUAUUAACAUGAAAAUGUUCAUUGUAUGUUAAAACAGACCUUCUCAAUCUAUAAUGUGCAUAAGAAUUCCUCAUUAAAAUGCAGAUUCUAAUUAAGUUUGUCUGCAUUUCUAAUAAGAUGCCAGGUGAUACUGAGACUACCCUGAGGACCACACUUUAAGUGGCAAGACAUAAAACAUCAUAUUAAAUACUGAAAUGCCACCAGAUUUGAUAAAACCUGUUUUCUAAUUUCAGAAAGUUCAUAAGCUAGAAGGAAAUUAAAAAUAAUUAGUCAUGCUAAUUUCUCUAAAAUGAAAUAGUUACCAACAUCUUAAAUUCAAAACAAUCUUGAUGAAGAAUAUAAUACAAAGUCUACUGGAAUUAAUUAAAUUUUUUUACAGCUAAAGAAUAUGCUAUGCUUUUUUAAAUUUUAAAAUAUCUGCAUCAGUAAUUUGUCUGUAUCUGUUUAAAUAAAAUGCCUAUUUAAACAUUUAACAAAAACAGAACAACAAUUAAAAAAAAAAACACCUCUCUAUGGUAGGCAAUGUGGAGUGGUAGUGGUUUCCACUCAAAUAGAAGAGAGGUCUGCAAUGUAUGGCCUGUGGGUCAGAUCCAUACUACUACCUGCUUUCAUACAGACCACAAGCUAGGAAUUUUGUUUUUUUUAUGUUUUCUAACAGUUGAAAAACAAUUUACAAAAGAGUAUUUCUUAAAAUAUUAAAAUGAUACAAAAUUUAAAAUUCAGUGUUUAUAAAACUGCUGCUGUCACACAGCAAUGCCCAUUCAUUUAUGUACAGUCUAUGGAGUCUGCUAUGGCCUGAAUAUUUGUUUCUUCCCAAAACUAAUACGUUGAAACCAAAUCCACAAUGCGAUGGUUUUAAGAGGUAAGGCAUCUGGAGAUGAUUAGGUGAUGAGGAUGAAGUCUUUAUGAAUGGCAUUAGUGCCCUUAUAGAAGAGGCCCAGGGGAGUUUGUUUGCUCCUUCCAAUAUGUGAAGAAACUGCCAGAAGGUGCUAUCUAUGAACCUGGAAAUGGACCCUCAUGAGAUACCAAAUCUGCCGGCACCUUGAUUUUGGACUUCCCAGCCUCCAAAACUAUGAGAAAUAAAUCUCUGUGUAUGAGCCACUAGUUUAGGGUAUUUGUUAUUGCAGCACAAACUGACAAAGACAACUGCUCUCAUGUUACAGCAGGCAGAGCUGAAUGGUGGCCACAGGACCACAUGGUCCAUAAGCAUGGAAUUUGUAUUUUCUGUUAAUUUUGUAAAAGUAUAAAAACCAACCAGGAAAGUAAUGUGUGUGUGCAUUAGAUAUUUUUUCUAGUAUUGUAGUCAUGUAAAUAUACAUUUUCUAUUCCUUAGAAGAGGUAUUUUUUAGUUUUAAAAAGGCCACAGGACUUGAAGUCAGGAGUCAUGUCUUUAAGGAUCUGGAGCAGAAACUCCAAUGCUGUUAAAUGAGAGGGUCAUAUCACAAGGCUUCUAUAACCCUUUUCUGAUCCAGCCUUUACAUAGGUAUAUAUUAAGCUUAUUUUUAUUUCUUUGCUUUAAAUUUUUCAACUCUGUGAUGUUGUACUAAAAGGAAAAAUUGAUAUUAUUUAAACUGUUUAACACAUGACUUUCCUUUCUAUGAACCUUGAAUUUGUUCUUGUUUAAAGUGUUUUAUUGUCUUGGCUCUAUAAGCUUGUUUCUUUUGCAUACUGUGGGAGUUUAAAAUAGGUUAUUUGUGUAGUCAUCUGAUCAAAGUUAGUGAAGUUUUAUUGCUACAAUAAAAUAACGUUUAGCACAAACUCCAAAUUUUAAUAAAAAUUCCAUCUAUAUCCAAACAUAAAACACACUGUGUAGCUGAGUUGUAAUUUUUGCCUAAACUAUACGCUGAAGAUUCAUGAAGGAAACCUAAAUAUAUGAAGUAUUUAAAUAGCCAGCUUAGAGACAGAAUUACUUAUGCUAAAGGACACAAACUUUCUACAGGAAAAGUAAAAUAAAUGGAAAUGUUAAGCAGUUUCGCAAACUGCAUUUGGCAUUUGAUAUAAAGAAAGCAAAACAAUAUAAAUUUUAUGAAUAGUAAGAAGGAUCCAUGGGCUUUUGGAAAAUUUCUUAUAUAGGAAAUAUUUCAUAGCAGAUUAAAUAAAUAAUUCAAUGUAACAAAGGAAUUCUCCAACAAUUACUAACCUUUAGGAAGGUUCUGUAUAUACUGUUUCCUAGGCUGUAAUUCCUUGCACUUACUAGCUGGAUGAUGUAGUCCAGUGAAAUUAUCUCUUUAAGCCUGUGUGUGUGUAAAACUGAUAAUUAACUAUUAUAUAUAUCUUGUAUAUUAUAUGCUAUCCCACAAUAUUUUUGUUUGUAUUCAAUAAAAUAAUGUAUUAAAUUUAGUCUUAUCAACAAUAAAUCCUUGAUAAAUAUUUGCUAUUAUUAUAAAUUUUAUGGGCACACACUUUUAGGUAAGAAAGGAUCAGACUGACAAUAUUUUCAAAUGUAUAAUUUUAAUAUAAUUAGUGAUAUUUUAGCAAUUGAACGACUGAUAUUCUUUGAUAUUUUAUUCAAGCAUACAGAAAUAAGACAUCCUAAAAAGAGGAAAAAUGGCAAAUGGUAUUUCCUAUCUAUAUCUUUAAAAAUAGCCUUAGUGACGUACAAUUGUACACACAAAAACUGAAUGUUCUCAUAUACGAUUUGAUGAGUUUU